rnacentral:rRNA from 1 species
AGCGAACGCUGGCGGCAGGCUUAACACAUGCAAGUCGAGCGGGCACUUUCGGGUGUCAGCGGCGGACGGGUGAGUAACGCGUGGUAACGUGCCCUCUGGUUCGGAAUAACUCAGGGAAACUUGAGCUAAUACCGGAUACGCCCUUUUGGGGAAAGGCUUGCUGCCGGAGGAUCGGCCCGCGUCUGAUUAGCUAGUUGGUGAGGUAACGGCUCACCAAGGCGACGAUCAGUAGCUGGUCUGAGAGGAUGAUCAGCCACACUGGGACUGAGACACGGCCCAGACUCCUACGGGAGGCAGCAGUGGGGAAUAUUGGACAAUGGGCGCAAGCCUGAUCCAGCCAUGCCGCGUGAGUGAUGAAGGCCUUAGGGUUGUAAAGCUCUUUUAUCCGGGACGAUAAUGACGGUACCGGAGGAAUAAGCCCCGGCUAACUUAGUG